UACGGGGGGGGCAAGCGUUGUUCGGAAUUACUGGGCGUAAAGGGUUCGUAGGUGGCCUACUAAGUCAGACGUGAAAUCCCUCAGCUUAACUGGGGAACUGCGUCUGAGACUGGAAGGCUCGAGUGCAGGAGAGGAACGCGGAAUUCCAGGUGUAGCGGUGAGAUGCGUAGAUAUCUGGAGGAACACCGGUGGCGAAGGCGGCGUUCUGGACUGCAACUGACACUGAGGAACGAAAGCCAGGGGAGCAAACGGG
rnacentral:rRNA from 1 species